AUGUGACCUCGCCAGUGCUGAGUACAGAGGGAAUGCCCACCAAACAUGAGAUUAAAAAAUAAAUAAAUCACAGACUGGGACCCAGCAGCAAGAAGAAGGUCUUGAAAUUGGUGAUGAGAGCAGAGUUUCCUGGAGGUUUCUAUGUAUCAGGCCCACUUCAACGCAGUUCAGGGAAGUGCAAUGCAAUGGCAUGUGCACAGAUUUCCUAUUGCAUGGACCUGAUGGUCAUCCUUAGUUCAUAACCCAACCUCCCACCAUGGAUCCUCUAUGUAUUAGUCAGUCUGGUGUCAAGACCACUGUGCUCUUCCCAGAGCCAGCUUGUCAUCUUGCCUUGAUUCAAACAUGCUUUUUGGAAGAGAGCCUUUUUACAGCAGAAGACAUUUGCUCCAUUUCCUCCAUCUACUUGGCUCUUUCCAAAGCCUCCUAUGAAACCAGUCCUCCUUGAAGGAUCUGUUUCCAGGAUAGGAAUCUGAAAGCAAUCACUGCUGAGAAAACAUACCCAAAGCCAGCUUCCACUGUGCAGACGAGUGGUGUAAGGAAACCUUCACAAAGAAGGGAUAAAAGGUGUGACACAUGCAGUGGGGUGGCGCUUGUCAGGCCCAGUUCAGCCACCUGUAGUCUGAAGGUCUGUGGCAGAGCUGAUCUCCCUAUGCUCAGCAGAUGGAAAUUGGAACUUCUAGGUGGUUCAUUUGACAAGUGGACAUAAAAUGGGUCAAGUGAGAAAUGAUCCUCCUCCUCCUUCUCUCUUCUUAAAAAGAGAAUAAUUUGCCACUGGAUUGGAAACAAAUGAGUACCACGUUGUCACGGCAGGUCUAUCUGAUUCCCAGAUAUGUUCCUUGCAAUUGCUAAUUCUUUUCAUCAUGAAAAUGGCAGAGGUGAAAUAACAAGUAUUCACAGAGCUCAUUUAACGGAGAAGGAACUGAAAAAUAGUGGUCUGGAUUCAUUCCUCUUCUAUUUAGAAGUUCAGCUUGGCGUGCUUGCAGUAUGUAUGCUACACGAUAUGGAAGUACUUACCCCAAAGAAAUGCGGAAUGUAGAGUCUUUAUCCUGGGAAAGAUCUGGUAGAGGUGUGUACAACUGUCCCUCAGAGAAGCUGAAUUGGAAACAGCUGAUCACAUUCUCUCACUUUUAUCAAGAGUGGAACUCAUCAACUGAAAUAAACUCGUGGUGGAUUCCAAAGAAACAUGAGAGUUGCCUAAUGGUAAGGAAUUAAAUUUCAGAACUCAUUGCCUUGGGAUGCAGGGAUGGCUUCAGAGAGAUUAAGUACAUCUGCAACAUAACGAUUAUUCAAAGGCUGAUUUCAGACUUGGGACUCUGGACAGUUGUGAAUAUUUGGUCUGAAUCAGGAUGACCAUACAUACACUCUUUGUUUUGUUCUUCUGAAUGAGUGCCUGAGCAAUCAUUGAGGGACAUAGGAAGCUUGACUUUCAGCCAGCCAUACCAGUGAUUUCUCUGAAGGUGGCAUGAAGGACUCAAAGCAUUGCCCCACGUCAUUCAAGAGAUCUGUGGUGCAGCAGGGUAACUCAGCUCUACAGCUAGCAACUGAAAACAUCCAUCAUGUCUACUCAGCAUUUUUUUGACUUACACAGCUUUACCCCAGAGCUCAAGCAAUUAUUUGCAGCCUGAAAAAAAGGGCAGCUACAGUCACUCGUAAGAUUUGGUCUCCUGCAUGGCUAUACAGGAGACUUCAGUCAUCUUGUGGGCACAAAUACAGUUUCUGAAUUGUGAGUGUAUAUAUGUAUGUUAUCAUACUCUUUCACUGUGAAAGUAGUAACUACUGUAUGUGGUAAAAUGAUAUAUUGUUGUCCGCAGAAUGUCUUUGGCAACAGGAUGUUCACUAGCCUUGGAAUUUUGCCUUGUAUAAAUAUUUUUAAUCUACUCCAUGUAGGCAUAUUUUGGCUGCAAAAUAAAGGGUUUUGGAGAUUAAUAUAUCCAGGCUCAGUUCUGCUUAUACAUCCUACAUACAUCAAGUUUUUAUUGAAC
ensembl:lncRNA